GGAGUUAUGGCUCAUUGGAAGAGCACUUGCCUAGCAUGUGUGAGGCACUGAGUUCGAUUCUCAGUACUGCA
rnacentral:tRNA from 1 species